AGUGAACGCUGGCGGCAGGCCUAACACAUGCAAGUCGAACGGCAGCACAGGGGAGCUUGCUCCCUGGGUGGCGAGUGGCGGACGGGUGAGGAAUACAUGGGAAUCUGCCCCGACGUGGGGGAUAACGUAGGGAAACUUACGCUAAUACCGCAUGAUCUGGAGACAGCAAAGCGGCGGACCGCAAGGCGUCGCGCGACGGGAUGAGCCCAUGUCGGAUUAGCUAGUUGGCGGGGUAAAGGCCCACCAAGGCGACGAUCCGUAGCUGGUCUGAGAGGAUGAUCAGCCACACUGGAACUGAGACACGGUCCAGACUCCUACGGGAGGCAGCAGUGGGGAAUAUUGGACAAUGGGCGCAAGCCUGAUCCAGCCAUGCCGCGUGGGUGAAGAAGGCCUCGGUUGU
rnacentral:rRNA from 1 species